rnacentral:rRNA from 1 species
CCUACGGGUGGCAGCAGUGGGGGAUAUUGCACAAUGGGGGGAACCCUGAUGCAGCGACGCCGCGUGGGUGAAGGAGUAUUUCGGUAUGUAAAGCCCUAUCGGCAGGGAAGAAUUUAGACGGUACCUGACUAAGAAGCCCCGGCUAACUACGUGCCAGCAGCCGCGGUAAUACGUAGGGGGCAAGCGUUAUCCGGAUUCACUGGGUGUAAAGGGAGCGUAGACGGGAAGGCAAGCCUGGAGUGAAAGCCCGGGGCCGCACCCCGGGACUGCUGGGGGAACUGGCGGGCGGGAGGGGGGGAGGGGGAGGCGGAAGUCGUGGUGGAGCGGUGAAAGGGAUAGAUA